CUCUGGUAGUUUUGCUUCAAUGGCUAGUAAGACCUUUGGGUCAUUACAGCUCUUCACAGCUUGAUGUGCCUGCACUUCAGAGCCCCAUAUAUUUGACUGUAAAAGUAUCAUUUCAAGUUCACAUAAAUCCAUCAGCUUUUUCCAGGCACUGGCCAAGCUCACAUUUAAUGGAACGACCUAUUCAGGUUACAGCAGUAGUGAUGAUCGAAGCAGACAAAUAAAAGACCAGUUGAAGAACAGCCAAAACCUGUCUCUGCUCACGUUGCUCUCAAGGUUGCCACGUCCACCUGACGUGCAUCUGCAUCCUGCUGCCCUGAGAUGUUGCUAAGUGACCAGCAACCAGGCUCAAAAGCUACAACGCCUGCUGCUGCAGUGCAAAAAUAAACAGUUCAGAACGCCAGUUUGGAACCAGUAUCAGGAAGCAGUUGGAUUUUCUGAUGCAAAGGGGAUUUUUGCUUCUGCCUGAGAACAGCCGAGAUUAUGUCAUAAGAAAGGGGCAGAAGAAGCAUCACCAACUCUAAGGAACCAAAGUCUCUCCAGCCACCAAAAUGAAUGCAGCUGCCACUUAGGGGAAGUGGACAAGGACAGAACCACCCAGAGAUGAUGGUGAGAAAAGGCAGAAGGCCUGGGAGCUGGAAAAUGACUCCAUGGAGUAAAAGAUCACAGCAUCCUUUGGGACAAGACCGAUGUUCAUGACAAGAAUGAAAACUAAUGCUGCAGCAAUGGAGAUUGUGAAAAUACAAAUUUAAAAAUGCAUACCUAAAGGAAAAUCAAGAAAAAAAGGAAAAUUAAGCAUUAAAUGGAACUCUGAGUAGUUACUAAAAGUAAGAAAAGGCAAAACAAAAUACCACCAGACUCUCUCCAUUACUACUUCCAACUACUGUUUCCCUAUUGACACAUAAUCUCUCAUCUGGAGUUCUGUUUGUGUUAUAAUAAUGAAUCCAAAACAUAAGCAGUUUAUUUCUCAAUAGCUAUAUUAACAAAGGUGUAUUUAUUAAUCAUUUGUAAUAAAAAUGAAUGUACACCAAGUGGUAGUAUUUUAGAGCUUAUUCUCAAUUAUAAAAAUAAUUAAGUUGCCUUAUAAAUGAAAUGUAGAAAAAAUAUUUUAAAAGAGUAUUU
rnacentral:lncRNA from 1 species